GCCUGGGUGGCUCAGUCGGUUGAGCAUCUGACUUCGGCUCAGGUCAUGACCUCAUAGCUCAUGGGUUCGAGCCCCGCGGCAGGCU
rfam:Felis catus isolate Cinnamon breed Abyssinian chromosome B3, whole genome shotgun sequence.